UACGAAGGGAGCUAGCGUUGUUCGGAAUCACUGGGCGUAAAGCGCACGUAGGCGGACGUGUCAGUCAGGGGUGAAAUCCCGGAGCUCAACUUCGGAACUGCCUUUGAUACAGCACGUCUUGAGUCCGGAAGAGGUGGGUGGAAUUCCUAGUGUAGAGGUGAAAUUCGUAGAUAUUCGGAAGAACACCAGUGGCGAAGGCGACAUACUGGCUCAUUACUGACGCUGAGGCUCGAAAGCGUGGGGAGCAAACAGG
rnacentral:rRNA from 1 species